AAUAAUCACCCCGGGCUUGGCAGGUUAGCUCAGAGCACGUGCCUGUAAGGAUAUGGCGAGGUGAACACUGAGGUCGGGGCCUCCAGUCCUGCCACUGCAGAAACUGCAUGUCACAACUCAUUCCCUAGCCGUUGCUGGCCCUGCUUGUGACGGCUCUGUUCAGUAGAUCAAUAUUUUUGUCUAACUUUUGUUAGAUUAAAAAAAGUUAUGUUUGUUUGGAGAAAAAAAAAAGUGAUAGGAAAGCCGUGGACUGGCUUUUGGAAGCUGGGUUUUCUCCCCAGCUCUUGAACUGUGUGGAGGCCUCUUCCUGUGUUCCAGCCUGUGGCUCUUCUGGGCAAACGCUUGCCCUGACCUUCAUUUAGUAGAUAUGAGGAUACGAUAGAAAAUAGACAUGAAUGGCUUUAAGACACGAUGGCAGUCUGGUAGACGGUAAUAUUUUUUUCAGUAAAAAUAACACUUUCAUCCUUUAUUUACACCUUCAGUCUAAAGAACUUAAGGCAUGUUGUGGAAGAUUGAUUCUGCAUCACCUGGGAGAGGAAAGAACCUUGUUUUUAUAGCAGAGAAACAUAAGCACAGGGAGGUUCUGUCACUUGCCAGUGAUGAUCCCAGCCUGGGAAAGGCAGGGACGCAGCAUGCUCGCCUUUUUGCCCUGCCACUUCUCCCAGGGAAUUCCUGAAAUUACUGCACUAAGCCUGUCUGUCUCCCUAGACCUACUCAGAGUGUGAAGAUGGCACCUAUAGUCCAGAGAUCUCCUGGCAUCACAGGAAAGGGACAAAAGGUUCUGAAGACAGCCCACCCAAGCACGCAGGCAACAAUGAAAGCCAUUCUUCCAGGAGAAGGAAUCGGCAUUCCAAGUCAAAAGUCACCAAUGGCGUUGGAAAGAAAUGAAAAACCCUGGUUAAUCAAAGAUGUUCCAGAGUGCCUAGAACUGAGAGGGAAAUGGAACUCAUUUGGACCUCCCUGUGAGGAGGUCGAGACGCACAGGGCAAGCAGAAAGAGGCGAGGGCACUUGGGGGUCAUUAUUUGAGAUCGUAAGUCUUGUUUCCCACAGACCUGGCCGCGUCAGGCAGAUCAUCGCCUGGGGGGCCUUUGCCAACGUGGGGUCUCUUCUAACUUCAGCACUUGGCAUGCGGUCACCGGUGGCAGCGCGGUGUGUUGAAGGGAAACUGUAGCUAUUCAUUCACAGUUGCCAAGAGCAGCUCUGCGCCUGCUGG
rnacentral:sRNA from 1 species